rnacentral:rRNA from 1 species
GUACACGCUGUGACUAGCAUAUCAAUAAGCGGAGGAAAAGAAACUAACAAGGAUUCCCCUAGUAACGGCGAGUGAAGCGGGAAGAGCUCAAAUUUGAAAUCUUAAAGGGUUUCCCUUUACGAAUUGUAGUUUAAAGAAGUGUUUUCUGUUGAGGUUUUGGUAAAAGUUCUUUGGAAUAGGACAUCAUAGAGGGUGAGAAUCCCGUAUUUGACCUUUACUUCCAACUUUGUGAUACACUUUCAAAGAGUCGGAUUGUUUGGGAAUGCAGUCCAAAAUGGGUGGUAAAUUUCAUCUAAAGCUAAAUAUUGGCGAGAGACCGAUAGCGAACAAGUACCGUGAGGGAAAGAUGAAAAGAACUUUGAAAAGAGAGUUAAACAGUACGUGAAAUUGUCAAAAGGGAAGCGUUUGACACCAGUGUUGUUUUUCUGAAAAUCAAUUAAAGAACUGUUUAUGCUAAGUUGUUUAGACUUUAUCAGCUAACUGUUUAGUUUUGAGCUUUUCUUUAAUGCACUUUUCAGUUAACAAGUCAACAUCAAUUUCUUUUGCUGUAAAAAAGCUUGAGGAAGGUGGCUUGAGAUUCGUCUUAAGUGUUUAUAGCCUCUUGCCUAUGCAGUCGGAGAGAUUGAGGUCUGCAGCGUAGAUCCUUCGGGGCUAAAUGCAUUUGUGCUAAGUUAUAACAUUUUAUAGACAACUUGUUGACUAUGAUUUGUCUUGUAGCUUACUCGCUUAUGUUAUUUUACCUACGCUUAGGAUGUUGAAGUCAUCGUAUCGCGC